UGGGGAAUAUUGCACAAUGGGCGAAAGCCUGAUGCAGCAACGCCGCGUGAGUGAUGAAGGUCUUCGGAUUGUAAAGCUCUGUCUUUUGGGACGAUAAUGACGGUACCAAAGGAGGAAGCCACGGCUAACUACGUGCCAGCAGCCGCGGUAAUACGUAGGUGGCGAGCGUUGUCCGGAUUUACUGGGCGUAAAGGGUGCGUAGCGGAUGUUUAAGUGAGAUGUGAAAUACCCGGGCUUAACUUGGGUGCUGCAUUUCAAACUGGAUAUCUAGAGUGCAGGAGAGGAGAAUGGA
rnacentral:rRNA from 1 species